CGCUCGCCCCAGACUGAGCGCCGUCUCUGUUCACUGACAACUUCUGUCUGCUCACCUACCAUCGGCACCAUGUGACCAGAACCCAUGCCAUUGGCUGCCAAUUAUGUGAUGGUGAUUCGAAAAGAAGAGUGAAUUUGAGCAACAGUUGUACAGAAGUACAGAAGCAGAUGCUUGGACAGUUUGCACAGAAAAUUCUUCGCUAACUGCAAUCGAUCAAUCCUGCCAGUGGCGAAGACGAAAAUAUUUCAGAAGCAGCAAACUUCUUUCCUGGCAGGACGUACUCACAUUCCUUUAGAUCCCUCCCCCGUCUUGAUCAGUAUUUGUGAGUUGGUUGCUGGCCUUGCAUUCCACAUAUAUCUACUUAGAAAGGAAACUAAAGCUUAAACACAGUUACAGUU
ensembl:lncRNA INTS6L-AS1 INTS6L antisense RNA 1